rnacentral:rRNA from 1 species
AUGGGCUGGCCCAUCAGACAAAUCCCGGUUGACUUUUUGCCAGGGUUUGAUUUAGACCGGGAUUACAUAGUUCAGGGUGCAAACAACAGGGAUUUCGACUUGAGGGUUUGAUUCGCCGAACCUCUACAAGUUCAAGGUUUAAAAUAGAAUUUUUCCUACUAAUAUUGUCCUCGUAUUAGGUACUGACUGCAACACGUCUUGCGGUAACGUGAAAGUACCGUACCCGUUUGGCAUGGGUCCCCGCCACUGCUACAGACCAGGGUUCAACCUCACAUGUGACACAACAGGCGGCAACACCACACGCCUACUGCUCGACGACUAUGGAGACUUUCGGGUCCUCGAUAUCUCCCUCGCCAACACCACAGUGCGUGUCGCUCGCACUGGUGCCUUCUUAGGUCUCACCCCCUCAGAAGAUUUCUUCAGUUUUGACAGUGUCUUCACGCAACCAAUGAAGAAACCAUACUCCCUCUCAACUCGUAAUGAGCUCAUUCUCAUGGGGUGCAACAUCAAGGCAACACUGCUCGCGUCCGACCAGAAAGCCAUCCUUAGCGGAUGCGCCUCCUUCUGCUCCUCCAAUGUGAAUGGCACCUAUGCUACGACGGUGGCAAGACGCAACCACGGCAAAUACUGCUACGGCAUGGGGUGCUGCCAGUCACGUAUCACUAUGUCCAACUACGGCAUGCCAGGGUAUUUGAGCUUCCAAGGGCUCGAACGGAGCAACAUGCGAAACCUAAAAUCGAUGCCCCCCUAUGUGUUAAUCGCAGAGGAAGGGUGGUUUGAUUUGGGUAGGUUUUCUGUCGAGCUGGCGCAGACGAUUCAGCACGAGGAGAUUCCCAUGAUUCUACGGUGGGAGGUCUUGUUGCCUGGCUUUCCUCCGGCUAAAGUCAGCUCGCAGCAACCGAAUUGUCCCAAGAAGGUAGUAGAUAGCAUCUGCAAGAGCAAGCAUAGCCACUGCAUACCAGAAAGCCGUGGCUAUUCAUGCCAAUGCAGAGAAGGCUACCAAGGCAACCCCUACCUCAUCGAUGGAUGCCAAGGUGGCCACCGAUUAUUUAAAGAUAAAGGUGUCAUCGUAGGAGUUGCUAGCGGGGCAGGCCUUGUACUUUUGGUUUUUAUUGGGCUCUUCAUUUCCAAGAAAUUAAAGCACAAAAGGACACAAAUGUUGAAGCGCAAGUUCUUUGAGCAGAAUCGUGGUCAAUUGCUGCAACAAUUGGUAUCUCAGAGAGCUGAUAUUGCAGAAAGGAUGAUCAUACCUUUAGAAGAGCUAGAGAAGGCAACAAACAACUUUGAUAAAGCUCGUGAGCUUGGUGGUGGAGGGCAUGGUACCGUCUACAAAGGAAUUUUAUCAGACCUACAUGUUGUGGCUAUCAAGAAACCAAAGAAGGUGGUUCAGAAAGAGAUUGAUGAGUUUAUCAAUGAAGUUGCUAUAUUGUCACAAAUCAACCAUCGGAAUGUGGUAAAACUCUAUGGUUGUUGUCUUGAAACAGAAGUCCCAUUGUUGGUCUAUGAGUUCAUAUCAAAUGGAACCCUUUAUGAUCAUCUUCAUGUUGAAGGACCAAGAUCGUUGUCAUGGGGUGACAGGCUACGAAUAGCAAUUGAAACAGCUAAAUCCCUAGCAUAUCUUCACUCGACAGCUUCAAUACCUAUCAUCCACAGAGACAUAAAGUCAGUAAACAUACUUUUGGACGAUACUCUAACAACAAAGAUAGCAGAUUUUGGAGCUUCAAGGUAUAUUUCAGUGGAGAAAUCAGGUUUAACAACCAUGGUGCAAGGUACCGUCGGAUAUUUAGACCCUAUGUACUUCUAUACAGGGCGACUCACGGAGAAAAGUGAUGUCUACAGUUUUGGUGUCAUGGUUGUAGAACUGUUGACCAGAAAGAAGCCAUUUUCAUAUUUAUCCCCUAGUGGUGAUGGCAUUGUUGCACAUUUUGCUAUGUUGUUUGCAGAAGAUAACUUGUCGCAGAUACUAGAUCCACAAGUUAUAAAUGAGUGGAGCAAAGAAGUCCAUGAAGUCGCUACACUUGCAAUAGCAUGUACACAGUUAAAAGGAGAGGAUCGCCCAACCAUGCGACAAGUGGAGUUGACAUUGGAAAGCUUACAAUCAUCAAUGCAUAUUGUUUCAGAUAAUGUGGUGAAUGAGGAAUUUGAGAAUGACGUUAUUCCAACAAAUUGCCCAAUGAAUGAGCAUGAAAGAGGCGGCGAUGAGGAUUCAACAAGACAAUAUAGUAUGGAAGAAGAGUUCAUGAUAUCAUCAAGGUAUCCUCGGUAG